ACAACCCAAAUAAAAGUGUCUUCUUUCAUAAGCAAGUUAUGUUUUCUAGGUUAACGAUUUGGGGCUAACAAAAGGCUUCCCGAAUUGUACUUUUCUUCUGCUAUUCUCUACUGUGUUUACUAACCUACCAAGCCUACCUCGGCUAGGAUUGUGUGGUCGUAAAAUUCCAUUUGUAGCUCGAAGUCUAUCCACAUUGCAGAUUUCAUUUAUUACUCAUGGCUCUAAAUCUUAAAGAAUAGGAUAAAGCUAUUAACACUGAAGAGGAAAUACCAGUUCAACUCCGUAAUGCUCCCUCAACUAAGGCAUCCGAGGAUAAAGCUAUUAAUACUGAAAAGGAAAUGUUGGUUCAUGUCAGUAAUGCUCCCUCAACUAAGGCAUCCGAGAAUGAAAAAGGUAAAUAUAUUGCUACUGGCACUGCAGAGGAAAGACCGGUGCAUAAACUGAAAAGGCCGGGAAGUGUUGAGCAUUUGUGGGUAAAGAAUUAUUAUUCGUUCCCUUCGACUGCUUAUCGGAAGAAUGAGAGAUUCUAAUUCAAACAUACAAGGAAGAUCUAUGGGGUCUAUUGGUUUAUGUUCCUUUUAUUUAUCUUAUUGGCGUUCAAUCUCUAAGGCGGGUUUUCCGCUGAGAACGGAAUAGUGUUUGUGGUUCGCUAUCAGUACUUGUUUUAGAGAGACAAAUGCAAUUUCGGGGUCUUUCCCUAGACCUCAUUAUAUUUUAUGGUUUCUGCAAUAUGUUUUACUCCUAGUACCUUUAUGUUUGGUUUUGAAUUGGAAUUAUUCUUUUCAGUAUCAUUGAAUUGGAAUUAAAAUA